rnacentral:rRNA from 1 species
GACGAACGCUGGCGGCGUGCCUAAUACAUGCAAGUAGAACGCUGAAGGAGGAGCUUGCUCUUCUGGAUGAGUUGCGAACGGGUGAGUAACGCGUAGGUAACCUGCCUGGUAGCGGGGGAUAACUAUUGGAAACGAUAGCUAAUACCGCAUAAGAGUAGAUGUCGCAUGACAUUUGCUUAAAAGGUGCAAUCGCAUCACUACCAGAUGGACCUGCGUCGUAUUAGCUAGUUGGUGAGGUAACGGCUCACCAAGGCAACGAUACAUAGCCGACCUGAGAGGGUGAUCGGCCACACCGGGACUGAGACACGGCCCAGACUCCUACGGGAGGCAGCAGUAGGGAAUCUUCGGCAAUGGACGGAAGUCUGACCGAGCAACGCCGCGUGAGUGAAGAAGGUUUUCGGAUCGUAAAGCUCUGUUGUAAGAGAAGAACGAGUGUGAGAGUGGAAAGUUCACACUGUGACGGUAUCUUACCAGAAAGGGACGGCUAACCACGUGCCAGCAGCCGCGGUAAUACGUAGGUCCCGAGCGUUGUCCGGAUUUAUUGGGCGUAAAGCGAGCGCAGGCGGUUAGAUAAGUCUGAAGUUAAAGGCUGUGGCUUAACCAUAGUACGCUUUGGAAACUAUUUAACUUGAGUGCAAGGGGGGAGAGUGGAAUUCCAUGUGUAGCGGUGAAAUGCGUAGAUAUAUGGAGGGAACACCGGGUGGCGAAAAGCGGCUCUCUGGCUUGUAACUGACACUGAGGCUCGAAAGCGUGGGGGAGCAAACAGG